rnacentral:rRNA from 1 species
AUUGAACGCUGGCGGCAGGCCUAACACAUGCGAGUCGAACGGUAACAGGAAGAAGCUUGCUUCUUUGCUGACGAGUGGCGGACGGGUGAGUAAUGUCUGGGAAACUGCCUGAUGGAGGGGGAUAACUACUGGAAACGGUAGCUAAUACCGCAUAACGUCGCAAGACCAAAGAGGGGGAACUUCGGGCCUCUUGCCAUCGGAUGUGCCCAGAUGGGAUUAGCUAGUAGGUGGGGUAACGGCUCACCUAGGCGACGAUCCCUAGCUGGUCUGAGAGGAUGACCAGCCACACUGGAACUGAGACACGGUCCAGACUCCUACGGGAGGCAGCAGUGGGGAAUAUUGCACAAUGGGCGCAAGCCUGAUGCAGCCCUGCCGCGUGUAUGAAGAAGGCCUUCGGGUUGUAAAGUACUUUCAGCGGGGAGGAAGGGAGUAAAGUUAAUACCUUUGCUCAUUGACGUUACCCGAAGAAGAAGCACCGGCUAACUCCGUG